UACAGAGGGGGCAAGCGUUGUUCGGAAUCACUGGGCGUAAAGGGCGCGUAGGCGGCCUGAUAAGUAGGGGGCGAAAUCCUGCGGCUUAACCGCAGGGCUGCCUUCUAAACUGUCAGGCUCGAGCACAGUAGAGGCAGGUGGAAUUCCCGGUGUAGCGGUGGAAUGCGUAGAGAUCGGGAAGAACAUCAGUGGCGAAGGCGGCCUGCUGGGCUGUUGCUGACGCUGAGGCGCGACAGCGUGGGGAGCAAACAGG
rnacentral:rRNA from 1 species